AGUGGCGGACGGGUGAGUAACGCGUGAGUAACCUGCCCUUAGGAAAGGGAUAGCGUCUGGAAACGGACGGUAAUACCAUAUAAAGUAUAUUAACGGCAUCGUAGAUAUACCAAAGCUGAGGCGCCUAAGGAUGGACUCGCGUCUGAUUAGAUAGUUGGUGGGGUAACGGCCUACCAAGUCGACGAUCAGUAGCCGGACUGAGAGGUUGAACGGCCACAUUGGGACUGAGACACGGCCCAGACUCCUACGGGAGGCAGCAGUGGGGAAUAUUGCACAAUGGGCGAAAGCCUGAUGCAGCAACGCCGCGUGAAGGAAGACGGUUUUCGGAUUGUAAACUUCUGUUCUUAGUGAAGAAUAAUGACGGUAACUAAGGAGCAAGCCACGGCUAACUACGUGCCAGCAGCCGCGGUAAUACGUAGGUGGCAAGCGUUGUCCGGAAUUACUGGGUGUAAAGGGAGCGUAGGCGGGAAGCCAAGUCAGCUGUGAAAACUACGGGCUUAACCUGUAGACUGCAGUUGAAACUGGCUUUCUUGAGUGAAGUAGAGGUUGGCGGAAUUCCGAGUGUAGCGGUGAAGUGCGUAGAUAUUCGGAGGAACACCGGUGGCGAAGGCGGCCAACUGGGCUUUAACUGACGCUGAGGCUCGAAAGUGUGGGGAGCAAACAGGAUUAGAUACCCUGGUAGUCCACGCAGUAAACGAUGAAUGCUG
rnacentral:rRNA from 1 species